GCCUCUUUAGCUCAGUUGGUUAGAGCGGUUGAUUCGUAAUCAGCAGGUCGGGGUUCGACUCCCCUGAGAGGCU
rnacentral:tRNA from 1 species